rnacentral:lncRNA from 1 species
UCUGAGUGUAUCUGGUAUAUCUGGUACAGAGUGCUCCUGGAGCUGUAUCUGAGGUCAGUGCCAUAGGCAUCUGGCAUCGUAUAUGCAUGUGUGUGGCAUGUUCUAGUGGCCGACCAUGCUCAUGGCCGUGAGCAUAUGGUGCUCAUGCGUGACUGCAUGUGAGAAUGGGGGAGUGGAUGGAUGGAUGGAUGCUAUAUAUAGUGUGGCUAGCUUAGUAUGUAAGCUAGCUAGUGGUAUGGGCAAGGCAUGGUGGGUGUCAUGCUUGUCCCCUGGGUCACUUCAUAAAUAGUGCCAGGGGACAAGUGACACUAUACAUGAUGGCAUCGAGGUACAACCGUCUCAUCCGUAGUAUGGCCGUCUCGUCGGGGUCUUGUCGGUGUCGGGUCGGGCUGCAGUCGGCAGCCGGCUGGUUGGCGCAGUCGGCAGCCGGCUGGUUGGAGCAGUCGGAAGCCGGCAGCCGGCCGGGCAGAGCAGUCGGACGGGGAGCCGGCAGGUGCAGCCGGGCAGUCGGACUGAGGGGCUUUGCUAGCCCCGAUGACUUGGAUAAUUGUCUUGCCAUCUUCGGGGUACCCGUGGUCAAUUACUCCGACAGUAGCCCCCAAGCCUCCGGGCAACUUGGCAAAUUUGCGUGGAGGUUUUUUGGCGAGUGUUCAUGGAAAUGAUCACGAAAAAAAGAUAAAGUUAGUCCAUGCAGAUAUAUCAAAUGUUUGCUUUUAGCAUUGCAAGUUUUAUGCAAAGGGUGCCGUCUCGGUUUCGUCCGAGCCCCCUUCUAUCUUUUUCAUGUCCCCUCCGCUCUUUAGCUUGUGCUUUCGCUAGCCCGACACCCGCUCUGCGGUCUGUGGCUGAGAGUGGGCCGCAGAGUGGCGCGUACAAUACUCAAACUCUGGGAGCGAAUUUAACCGAGUAGAUACUCAUAAAGGAAACGGUCUGGUUGCCCGAAGCGUUUUUCUUUCCGGACGUUUUUCGCAUGGGUGGCCUCCAGCGUUCACUCUUGCCAGUCGGACAGCCGCUCUGCGGCUGUGACUGAGAGUGGGCCUUUGGUACCGCGCACGCUACUAAGCCGUCUGCGGGAACUAACGUCUCAGGCCAAGCGGCCAGCCCCCGGGCCAACUCUGGCUGGCGCUGGGGUGAAUAGUAGUGCAACUGUAAUAAAAUGCGGAGAUAGCCCCCGAGCAUCGCUCAGGGUUAUCCAUGCUUGCGUGAUGCAAAAAUAUGACGGUGAGGAGCUCACAUUGAUUUUUGUGUAGCCGAGGCGGAGUUUGCCGAAGACAGCCGGCACGGCUCGGCGCUCGCAGAGUGCGCCGGUGCACCCGCUGGGUGUAGCCUUCGAGCCCCCGGGUGCUCGAGGAGGGUCCCGACCGGUCAGGCUCGACCGGCCAGGCGGCGAGGCGUUUUGCAACGCCUUUUUUCUUAUUUUUUCUCUUCUGCCGACUGCUGGCAACCGGACAAAACUCUUCUCUUGUCUCUUGUUUUGUUUCUUGCAUUCUUUCGUGGGGGCUCGCCAGCGCACCCACUGGGUGUAGCUCCCGAGAUUCGGGCCGACUGCUCAGCAGUCGGGUCGGAUCUCCCGGCGACAACUUUGUCUUCUCUCUCGCGGGGGCGCGUCAGCGCACCCGCUGGGUGUAGCCCCCGAGAUUUGGGCCUACUGCUGAGCAGUCGGGCCGGAUCUCCCGGCAACUACUUUGUCUUCUCUCUCGCGGGGGCGCGUCAGCGCACCCGCUGGGUGUAGCCCCCGAGAUUCGGGCCGACUGCUGAGCAGUCGGGCCGGAUCUCCCGGCAACUACUUUGUCUUCUUUCUCCUUCUCUUUGUCCAGCUGCGGGUAGCCGGACACAUAUUUUUUUCUCUCUUUUUUCUUCUCAGUCGGCUAUUGACUUGGUCAGUCGGACCUCUUUUCCUUUGCACGAGCAGCCGGCUACAGCGGGCAGUCGGCCCUUUUUCUUUUUCUCCCAGCCGGCCUCUCUCUCUCUCUUUUUUCGCUAGUCGGCUGUGUGCAGUCGGACACACUCCAGUCGGCCUCUUUUCUCAGCCGGAUCAGGCACUCGGCCACAGCGCGCAGACAGCCCUUUUCUUUUUCUCCCAGCUGGCUUUGAGCAGUCGGACACAACUCUUCAUUUUAUUUUUUCUUUUGCACAGCUGGCGCACUGUGUUGACCCAGCCGGCUCUUUCUUUCUUUUCUUUCUUUGCUUGAGCAGUCGGCAGGAGUGGGUUAUGGUGGAAGCGGCGGCCGGGACGCGGCGGAAGCCGGCGUGCGGGUUGCGGGUAAGCCGGCAGGCGGCAGGAUCGGCCGGGUAGCCGAUGCGGGCGGAGCCGGCGUGCCGGGUCAUGGGGAGGCCGGCCCAGGACGAAGCCGGCAGGCCGGGUUGCAAGGAAGCCGGUGCAGCCGGGUCACCGGGUUGCGGGCAGAGCCGGCAAGCGGCCGGGUCGCUGGGUGACGGGGAGGAGCCGGAGGCUGGGCAGCAGCAGGAGCCGCGGCCGGGUCGGAGGACUCCAGCGGACGGGGCCAAACCCGGCGCUGUAGGUGGAGAUUGGGCGCGAAGGCGGGGCCGGCGAGCGGGCGCGGCCGGGUCGCGGGACGCUGGACGGGCCCGGCCAGGGGCAAGGCUGCAGAGGCCGGCCGGGACGGCGGGGAAGCCAGCCGGGGGCGGACGCGUGGAGCCGACCCGCGCGCGGGACGAGGCCGGACGCGGCCAGGCAGGGGUGCAAGUGGCCGCGGCCUUGCGAGCAGAGGGGUCGGGGCGGCGCAGGCGGAGUGGGAGCCGGCCAGGGCCGGGUGUUGACGAGCAGGGCGCGGUGCCACACGGGACGUGGGAGCCAGCGGCUGGGUCAGAGAAGGCCGAGCGCAAGAGACGGCGGCCGGGGAGGCCGGCUCGUCCGGGUCGACGCAGGAGGCGGAUGGCCAACGCGGUACGCGACAGCGUUGUCAGAGACCGGCGCGCACGAGGAGGAGGGCCAGUGCGGCGGGUCGGAGGUGAGCCAGACGGCUGGGUGCGCGUGAAGCAGAGCAGAGGCGAGCCGGGGCGGCUGCGUGCACACACGAGCGGAGUGGAGGCGAGCACGGCAUGCCUACGCAGUCGGAGAAAAUCACAGAAUGCUGGCGUGUUUCCAUUGUCUGGGAAGUGUACGGGGAUUAUCUGACCAUUAUCUGGCUAAUAUCUAGCUUUGCAUCUGGGCUCUGUAUGGGUAGUGUGUGGCUAGCAUAUGAGAGUACGACCAUAGUUUGGGAAGCGUAUAGGUUGUGUCUGGGAUGUGUAUGGCCAAUGGUUUGACCCAUGCAUGACUUGCAUCUAGCUAGCUUGCAAGCAGAUGCAAGUGAGGGGGACGAGCGUGAGUAGGCUUAGUGGUGUCGAGGCCGACGAUGCGGACGCGCCAUCCCGUGCGGCCGCCCCGGGGGCGAGUUGAUGUCGAGCCCUCGUGCACGGUCGGAAAGACGGCGGCGACGUCGCGGCGGAGCUGAUGAGGAUGGCGAAAAAAGGGUCCCGCCCGGACAGUAAAACCGGCAGCAGCGUGGUAGCAUAGUAAUAGUACCACACCACGGUGGGCGCCAAAUGUCGUGGUAUUCUCACGGGGGGUGUUGCAAGACGACAUAUGCCACAAGGGCUUAGUGUGAGGGUAAGACUGCUGCUGAUAGGACCGGGAGCGGGUAUGCGAGUAGCACGCGGUGGUUUACCCAGCUUCAGAGCUCUCCGGAAAGAUAAUACUCCUACUGCUGCAUGUUUGAGUGUAUCUAGUAUAUCUGGUACAGAGUGCUCCUGGAGCUGUAUCUGAGGUCAGUGCCAUAGGCAUCUGGCAUCGUAUAUGCAUGUGUGUGGCAUGUUUUAGUUGCUGGCCAUGCUCAUGGCCGUGAGCAUAUGGUGCUCAUGCGUGAGUGCAUGUGAGAAUGGGGGAGUGGAUGGACGGAUGGAUGCUAUAUAUAGUGUGGCUAGCUUAGUAUGUAAGAUAGCUAGUGGUAUGGGCAAGGCAUGGUGGGUGUCAUGCUUGUCCCCUUGGUCACUUUAUAAAUAGUGCCAGGGGACAAGUGACACUAUACAUGAUGUCAUCGAGGUACAGCCGUCUCGUCCGCGGUAUGGCCGUCUGGUCGGGGUCUUGUCGGUGUCGGGUCGGGCUGCAGUCGGCAGCCGGCUGGUUGGCGCAGUCGGCAGCCGGGUGGUUGGAGCAGUCGGCAGCCGGCAGCCGGCCGGGCAGAGCAGUCGGACGGGGAGCCGGCAGGUGCGGCCGGGCAGUCGGACUGAGGGGCUUUGCUAGCCCCGAUGUCUUGAAUAAUUGUCUUGCCAUCUUCGG